UACGUAGGGACCAAGCGUUGUUCGGAUUUACUGGGCGUAAAGGGCGCGUAGGCGGCUUAACAAGUCACUUGUGAAAUCUCCGGGCUUAACUCGGAACGGCCAAGUGAAACUGUCAAGCUAGAGUGCAGAAGGGGCAAUCGGAAUUCUUGGUGUAGCGGUGAAAUGCGUAGAUAUCAAGAGGAACACCUGAGGUGAAGACGGGUUGCUGGGCUGACACUGACGCUGAUGCGCGAAAAGCUAGGGUAGCAAACGGG
rnacentral:rRNA from 1 species